rnacentral:rRNA from 1 species
UACGUAGGUGGCAAGCGUUGUCCGGAUUUAUUGGGUUUAAAGGGUGCGUAGGCGGUCUUAUAAGUCAGUGCUGAAAUAUCCCGGCUUAACCGGGAGGGUGGCAUUGAUACUGUAGGACUUGAGUAAAGUUGAGGUUGGCGGAAUUGACGGUGUAGCGGUGAAAUGCUUAGAUAUCGUCAAGAACACCGAUAGUGUAGACAGCUAACUAAGCUUUAACUGACGCUGAGGAGCGAAAGCGUGGGGAGCGAACAGG